rnacentral:rRNA from 1 species
GAUGAACGCUGGCGGCGUGCCUAAUACAUGCAAGUCGAGCGAGCGGACGAGAAUGUUGCUUUUCUGAUGUUAGCGACGGACGGGUGAGUAACACGUGGAUAACCUACCUAUAAGACUUAGCUAACUUCGGGAAACCGGAACUAAUACCGGGUAAUUUUUUGAACCUCAUGGUUCAAAAGUGAAAGACGGUCUUGCUGUCACUUAUAGAUGGUUCCGCGCUGCAUUAGCUAGUUGGUAAGGUAACGGCUUACCAAGGCAACGAUGCAUAGCCGACCUGAGAGGGUGAUCGGCCACACUGGAACUGAGACACGGUCAAGACUCCAACGGGAGGCAGCAGUAGGGAAUAUUCCGCAAUGGGCGAAAGCCUGACGGAGCAACGCCGCGUGAGUGAUGAAGGUAUUCGGAUCGUACAACUAUGUUAUUAGGGAAGAAAAUAUGUGUAAGUAACUGUGAACAUAUUGACGGUACCUAAUCAGAAAGCCACGGCUAACUACGUG